rnacentral:rRNA from 1 species
UUAUUGGAGAGUUUCGAUCCUGGCUCAGGACGAACGCUGGCGGCGUGCCUAAUACAUGCAAGUCGAGCGAACCUGUAUUUCCUUCGGGAGACGCCAGGUUAGCGGCGGACGGGUGAGUAACACGUAGGCAACCUGCCUGAAAGACCGGGAUAACUUGCGGAAACGUGAGCUAAUACCGGAUAGCUGGUUUCUUCGCAUGAAGAAGUCAUGAAAGACGGGGCAACCUGGUCACUUACAGACGGCGCCUGCGGCGCAUUAGCUGGUUGGUAGGGUAACGGCUUGCACAAGGCGACGAUGCGUGUAGCCGACCUGAGAGGGUGAACGGCCACACUGGGACUGAGACACGGCCCAGACUCCUACGGGAGGCAGCAGUAGGGAAUCUUCCGCAAUGGACGAAAGUCUGACGGAGCAACGCCGCGUGAGUGAUGAAGGUUUUCGGAUCGUAAAGCUCUGCUGGUUGGGCGAAGAACGGCCAGGGGAGUAACUGCCCCUGAGUGACGGUACCGGAGGAAGAAGUUCGGCUAACUACGUGCCAGCAGCCGCGGUAAUACGUAGGGGGCAAGCGUUGUCCGAAUACAUUGGGCGUAAGGCGCGCGCAGGCGGUCUUUUAAGUCUGGUGUUUAAGCCCGGGGCUCAACCCCGGUUCGCACUGGAAACUGGGAGACUUGAGUGGUAAAGAGAGGAAAGUGGAAUUCCACGUGUAGCGGUGAAAUGCGUAGAGAUGUGGAGGAACACCAGUGGCGAAGGCGGCUUUUCAACGGCAACUGCUGAGGCGCGAAAGCGUGGGAGCAACAGGAUUAGAUACCCUGGUAGUCCACGCCGUAAACGAUGAAUGCUAGGUGUUAGGGGUUUCGAUACCCUUGGUGCCGAAGUUAACACAGUAAGCAUUCCGCCUGGGAGUACGGUCGCAAGACUGAAACUCAAAGGAAUUGACGGGGACCCGCACAAGCAGUGAGUGGUGGUUGUGACCGAAGCAACGAAGAAGAACCUUACCAGUUCCUGGACAUCCCUCUGACCGGUUUAGAGAUAGACCUUUUCCUUUCGGGGACAGAGGGAGACAGGUGGUGCAUGGUUGCUGUCAGCUCGUGUCGUGAGAUGUUGGGUUAAGUCCCGCAACGAGCGCAACCCUUGAUCUUAGUUGCCAGCACGCAGAGGUGGGCACUCUAAGAUGACUGCCGGUGACAAACCGGAGGAAGGUGGGAUGACGCUCAAAUCAUCAUGCCUUAUGGCCUGGGCUACACACGUACUACAAUGGUCGGUACAAUGGCAUGAAGAGCGAUCCGGAGCCAAUCCUCAAAAGCCGAUCUCAGUUCGGAUUGCAGGCUGUAACUGCCUGCAUGAAGUUCGAAUGUAUAGUAACGGGAUCAGCAUGCCGCGGUGAAUACGUUCCCGAAGUCUUGUACACACCGCCCGUCACACCACGAGAGUUUACAACACCCGAAGUCGGUGAGGUAAACCGUGAAGGGCCAGCCGCCGAAGGUGAUGAUUGGGGUGAAGUCGCAUCAGCGGUAGCCGUAUCGAAGGUGCGGCUGGAUCACCUCCUUU